GAUUAACGCUGGCGGCGUGCCUAACACAUGCAAGUCGAGCGGCAGCGAGUUUUACACUGAAUUCUGGAAGCUUCUAGUUGAAAGAGGAGAUUUAUUCAAGAAUUUUGUGUAAAAUGUCGGCGAGCGGCGGACGGCUGAGUAACGCGUGGGAACGUACCCCAAAGUGAGGGAUAACGCAUCGAAAGGUGUGCUAAUACCGCAUAUGGUCUUCGGAUUAAAGCCUUCGGGCGCUUUGGGAACGGCCUGCGUAAGAUUAGAUAGUUGGUGGGGUAAUGGCCUACCAAGUAGACGAUCUUUAACUGGUUUGAGAGGAUGAUCAGUCAGACUGGAACUGAGACACGGUCCAGACUCCUACGGGAGGCAGCAGUGAGGAAUCUUCCACAAUGGGCGAAAGCCUGAUGGAGCAACGCCGCGUGCAGGAUGAAGGCCUUCGGGUUGUAAACUGCUUUUAUAAGUGAGGAUUAUGACAGUAACUUAUGAAUAAGGAUCGGCUAACUACGUG
rnacentral:rRNA from 1 species